GGGUUGUGAGGUUAAGCGACUAAGCGUACACGGUGGAUGCCCUGGCAGUCAGAGGCGAUGAAGGACGUGCUAAUCUGCGAUAAGCGUCGGUAAGGUGAUAUGAACCGUUAUAACCGGCGAUUUCCGAAUGGGGAAACCCAGUGUGUUUCGACACACUAUCAUUAACUGAAUCCAUAGGUUAAUGAGGCGAACCGGGGGAACUGAAACAUCUAAGUACCCCGAGGAAAAGAAAUCAACCGAGAUUCCCCCAGUAGCGGCGAGCGAACGGGGAGGAGCCCAGAGCCUGAAUCAGUGUGUGUGUUAGUGGAAGCGUCUGGAAAGGCGCGCGAUACAGGGUGACAGCCCCGUACACAAAAAUGCACAUACUGUGAGCUCGAUGAGUAGGGCGGGACACGUGGUAUCCUGUCUGAAUAUGGGGGGACCAUCCUCCAAGGCUAAAUACUCCUGACUGACCGAUAGUGAACCAGUACCGUGAGGGAAAGGCGAAA
rnacentral:rRNA from 1 species